AUCGAUAAUCCACGUUAAAUUUCACUUUUACUUAAAAUUUAUAUACCUCCAUUUCAAGAAUUAAUUUCAAAAUAUUCCUCCUAACAAUUAAUAAAAAAUUAGGUCAAGGUGUAAUCCAUAUAAAAGAAUAAGAUGAAUUACAUUAAAAAUAAUUUAAAGACUAUUAAUAAAUAUAUCAAUAUAAAUAUGGAUUUAAAAGUAUUAUUUAAACAAUAAUUAUAUAAGAUAAAGAUAAUAAAUGUGUACACAUCGCCC
rnacentral:rRNA from 1 species